rnacentral:rRNA from 1 species
GAGUUUGAUCCUGGCUCAGGAUGAACGCUAGCGACAGGCUUAACACAUGCAAGUCGAGGGGCAGCACAGGUAGCAAUACCGGGUGGCGACCGGCGCACGGGUGAGUAACGCGUAUGCAACUUACCUAUCAGAGGGGGAUAACCCGGCGAAAGUCGGACUAAUACCGCAUGAAGCAGGGGCCCCGCAUGGGGAUAUUUGCUAAAGAUUCAUCGCUGAUAGAUAGGCAUGCGUUCCAUUAGGCAGUUGGCGGGGUAACGGCCCACCAAACCGACGAUGGAUAGGGGUUCUGAGAGGAAGGUCCCCCACAUUGGUACUGAGACACGGACCAAACUCCUACGGGAGGCAGCAGUGAGGAAUAUUGGUCAAUGGGCGUAAGCCUGAACCAGCCAAGUCGCGUGAGGGAUGAAGGUUCUAUGGAUCGUAAACCUCUUUUAUAAGGGAAUAAAGUGCGGGACGUGUCCCGUUUUGUAUGUACCUUAUGAAUAAGGAUCGGCUAACUCCGUGCCAGCAGCCGCGGUAAUACGGAGGAUCCGAGCGUUAUCCGGAUUUAUUGGGUUUAAAGGGUGCGUAGGCGGCCUUUUAAGUCAGCGGUGAAAGUCUGUGGCUCAACCAUAGAAUUGCCGUUGAAACUGGGGGGCUUGAGUAUGUUUGAGGCAGGCGGAAUGCGUGGUGUAGCGGUGAAAUGCAUAGAUAUCACGCAGAACCCCGAUUGCGAAGGCAGCCUGCCAAGCCAUUACUGACGCUGAUGCACGAAAGCGUGGGGAUCAAACAGGAUUAGAUACCCUGGUAGUCCACGCAGUAAACGAUGAUCACUAGCUGUUUGCGAUACACUGUAAGCGGCACAGCGAAAGCGUUAAGUGAUCCACCUGGGGAGUACGCCGGCAACGGUGAAACUCAAAGGAAUUGACGGGGGCCCGCACAAGCGGAGGAACAUGUGGUUUAAUUCGAUGAUACGCGAGGAACCUUACCCGGGUUUGAACGCAUUUUGACAGCUCUGGAAACAGAGCCUCUAGCAAUAGCGAUUUGCGAGGUGCUGCAUGGUUGUCGUCAGCUCGUGCCGUGAGGUGUCGGCUUAAGUGCCAUAACGAGCGCAACCCUUGCCACUAGUUACUAACAGGUAAAGCUGAGGACUCUGGUGGGACUGCCAGCGUAAGCUGCGAGGAAGGCGGGGAUGACGUCAAAUCAGCACGGCCCUUACAUCCGGGGCGACACACGUGUUACAAUGGCGUGGACAAAGGGAAGCCACCUGGCGACAGGGAGCGAAUCCCCAAACCACGUCUCAGUUCGGAUCGGAGUCUGCAACCCGACUCCGUGAAGCUGGAUUCGCUAGUAAUCGCGCAUCAGCCAUGGCGCGGUGAAUACGUUCCCGGGCCUUGUACACACCGCCCGUCAAGCCAUGGGAGCCGGGGGUACCUGAAGUCCGUAACCGCGAGGAUCGGCCUAGGGUAAAACUGGUGACUGGGGCUAAGUCGUAACAAGGUAGCCGUACCGGAAGGUGCGGCUGGAAAACC